UGUGGCUGUCUCUAGUCUCUGUCAUUUGUUGAUGUGUUACAUACUUGUUUUUCAUUCAUUUUGUACAUAAAUUGGUCAGUUAGUUGUCUUGUUCAAAUAGUUUUAUAUUUGUAAUUUUGGGGCCUUUUAUAGCAGACUAUGCAGUACCGAUAUGGACUUUGCUUAUUGUUGAAUGCUGUAAGGUGACCUAUAGUUGUUAAUUUCUGUGUCAUUUUGGUCUCUUAUGGAGAGUUGUCUCAUUGGAAAUCAUACCACAUUUUCUUUUUUAUACAUAUUGUUCAACUAAAUAAGAUAAAAUUUGUUGAAG
rnacentral:lncRNA from 1 species